rnacentral:rRNA from 1 species
AAUCAACGCUGGCGGCGUGCCUAACACAUGCAAGUCGAACGCGAGAGUCCCGCAAGGGAUAAUUGAGUGGCAAACGGGUGAGUAACACGUGGGUGACCUGCCUUCGAGUGGGGGAUAACGUUCCGAAAGGAACGCUAAUACCGCAUGACAUCCUGCUCUUGGAAGAGCGGAGAUCAAAGCUGGGGAUCGCAAGACCUGGCGCUUGAAGAGGGGCCCGCGCCUGA